GGACGGUUAGCUCAGCGGCAGAGCACUUCGUUUACACCGAAGGGGCCGUAGGUUCAAAUCCUACACCGUCCACCA
rnacentral:tRNA from 1 species